AAAGUCGUAACAAGGUUUCCGUAGGUGAACCUGCGGAAGGAUCAUUAAAUUCAGUAGUUUACUACUGUUUUGAGGGAAGCGGAAACUCGCUCGGCUGCUUCGGUAUGCCUGGCUGAGGAGUACGCCCCCUCUUUACACCCUUGUCUUUUUGCGUACUCAUGUUUCCUCGGCGGGCUUGCCCGCCGGUUGGACAAAUAAUAACCUUUUUAAUCUUCAAUCAGCGUCUGAAUAAUUAUAAUAAUUACAACUUUCAACAACGGAUCUCUUGGUUCUG
rnacentral:misc_RNA from 1 species